CAGCUCGGGCGGUCCGCACCCAAUCACCGGUGUCUCGCGGCUCUCGCCCCACCCCAGCCACCAAACGAGGAACCCUAGCCUCCUGUCUCCUUCCCCUCGAUCCCCACGAGCCGCUGCACCCCUCCCUCUCCCUUCCGUGCGUGUGCUCGGCCAACGACGCCGCCGUCGCCCUCGGCUCCUCCUCCACCACCUCGCCUUUUUCUCCUCCUUGCCUUCCCAUCGCUCGCGCGCAUGUCGCCACCGUCGGAGAACAGGACAGUGUGAGUCGCUUCCUCCUUUUCCUCCCGCCGGAUCUAAGGCGUGUGGCCGUGGAGGCGAGCCUCUCCGGUGGCGGCGGCAAAGGGUGACCACAUGGAUCGGUCCCUGCAGGAGAGAGAAGAUGGGAGAGAGGGAGAGAAGGAAGGAGAGGAGGGAGGCCCGGCGGCGGACGGGAGAGGGUCACCGACCGGCGCUGGCGAGGUCAGGUGCGACCUGGUGGUUGGUGGCGGCUCGAUCCACUCCUGGAUCCUUCUUCUUCCACUUCCCCACUGCCUAACACCUAGGAAGAGGGCUGGCCGAGGAAGAGGGCGAGGACGCGGGGAUUGAAGAGGGUGUUCCUGCGUUCAUCGCCUGGCCAAGGACGAGGACGACGAGGUGGGGUGGAGCUUGUCAUCCCUCUGGUUAUCACCUUCCUUUCUGCUACUGGGCUGAUAUGAGGGUUUUCUCCAUCGAUUGUGGUGGCCUGAGUCAGAGAUCGACAGCCAGAUGCUUGUGGCUACCACACAAAACGUGCUCUCUUGCUGACCUCGAGGUCCAGACGCAAUGGAUUGUCUCCAAGGUGUUUCUCCGACCAGCAACAACAAAACUCCACACUUUCUCAAUUGCGCUGUGAUUGGUUCAUGUCCACCAAGGCCGUUGCGUUGGUCGCGGUACUCGGCUUCCUUUGGGUUUGCUUGCUGUCGAGGAAGAAGAAAGGUGUGAACUAUGUGAAAAUGGACAAACCCACUGCCCCAGAUGAAGCACAACCCUCUUGAUCCAACUAGGAACAUCAAAACCAAAUGGGAAAUCAUUGAGUGGACUUCAGAUGUCCAUGCUGUGAGUACACCAUUAGUAUCUGAAUCUACUUUGUAUAAUUAAGACACACUUUCUACAUAUCGCUGCUAUAUUGAUACCAUGUGAUCACUUAACAUGAGUGUGACUAGGCUAUUUUCUUGCCUAACUGUGUGAUUGCAUGUAGUAAUGCAUGGCUUCUCUAUUUAAAUGAAGAGUUGUGUUUAUCAUAAUAAUUAUAUACCACAGACUUGUUUCUUUCUGUUUAUGUAAUAAUGCAGUUCGUCUUCUACCAUAUGUUUUCUUUGUUACAUGUCUUCUAAUUGUUCAUCUUUUUUUCUCUUUCCACGACAAAAUAACUUUGCAUUUGGCGUAACAAAAUAACUUUUUUCUCUUUGUUACAUGUCUUCUAAU